rnacentral:rRNA from 1 species
GAUGAACGCUAGCGGCAGGCUUAACACAUGCAAGUCGAGGGGUAUAGUAGCAAUACUAGAGACCGGCGCACGGGUGCGUAACGCGUAUGCAAUCUACCUUUUACAGGGGAAUAGCCCAGAGAAAUUUGGAUUAAUGCCCCAUGGUAUUAUCGAGUGGCAUCAUUUGAUAAUUAAAGUUCCAACGGUAAAAGAUGAGCAUGCGUCCUAUUAGCUUGUUGGUAAGGUAACGGCUUACCAAGGCUACGAUAGGUAGGGGUCCUGAGAGGGAGAUCCCCCACACUGGUACUGAGACACGGACCAGACUCCUACGGGAGGCAGCAGUGAGGAAUAUUGGACAAUGGGCGCAAGCCUGAUCCAGCCAUGCCGCGUGCAGGAAGAAGCAUCUAUGGUGUGUAAACUGCUUUUGUACAGGAAGAAACACUCCCUCGUGAGGGAGCUUGACGGUACUGUAAGAAUAAGGAUCGGCUAACUCCGUG